rnacentral:lncRNA from 1 species
AGCUAUUUAUUUUUAUAUUCUUAAAAAAUAUGAAUAUUUAUGCUAAUAGUAUAAAUUUUGAGAGAAAAAAAACUUAAUUUAAUAGCCGAAUUUUUUAUCCCGAAUUUUUAAUUAGUGAACGUAUAAUAUCCGUAUAAAUCACGUAUCCGAAUAAUUGAUGAAUCCGUUUUUUAACCGUAUUUUUCAACAAAUUUAAAAAUUAGAAGGCGGAUUUUAUCCGAAUUAUACCCGUACCAAAUUUUUGCCGAAUCCGAAUUAACUAACUAUGGUUUCAACCAGUGGAUCAACCAUCGGUUGAACCACUAACAUUAGUAUGUAGUUAUUAAUAUUUAAUUAUUAUUUUUUAAUUAUAUUUUAUUUUAUAUAUAUAUAUAUAUAUAGCAGGUCUGCUAUGCUCUCAGGAGCAUGGAGGCCUCCGUGCUCCUGAGCCAUUUUCGAUAAUGAAAUUUUCGAAUUGACGAUCGGCUCCGUUAGACUUGAUCUAAUGUAUUUAAAGUUUUUAGAAAAUAAUUUUUGCGAUUUUUUGAUAUCAUUUACCUAGUGAUCGAAAUGAUUCAAAAUUAAUAAUUUUUAAUGGUUGAUAUCUACCGUUUUCAAGUUUAAUGGUGUAGAAGUAUUCAAAUCAGAUAAAAUUUUGAUACAAAAUUCUUUAUACUAUCUAUAACAAGAUCAAUAUUUCUGAUCAAAAAUUUUAAUGCUAUAUCAUCACUUUUUAUAGAAUUUUUAUUUUCAGCCGUUAAAAAUUAUUAAUUUUAAAUCCUUUCGAUUGCUAGGAAAAUGAUAUCGAAAAAUCGCAAAAAUUAUUUUUUAGAAACUUCAAAUACGCUAGAUCAAGUCUAACGGAGCCGAUCGUCGAUUUGAAAAUUCUAUCAUCGAAAACGGCUCAGGAGCACGGAGACCUCCGUGCUCCUGAGAGCACAGCAGUCCUGCUCUCUCUCUCUCUCUCUAUAUAUAUAUAUAUAGAGAGAGAGCUAGGCUGGUAUAUUAUCGAUGACACGGAGGCCUCCGUAUUACUAAGUUGUUUUCAAUGUUGCGGCUUCCAAAUCGACGAUCGGCUCGGUUAAACUUGAUCUACACUAUUAAAAGCAUUUAGAAACUAAAUUUCAUAAUUUUUCGAUAUCAAUUACUUAUCACACCUAAUAAACAGGGGAAAAAAAGACUACUACAAUAAAAAUCCAUCAACAAAU